rnacentral:rRNA from 1 species
UACGAAGGGGGCUAGCGUUGCUCGGAAUCACUGGGCGUAAAGAGCGUGUAGGCGGCCAUGCAGGUCAGCUGUGAAAACUCGAGGCUCAACCUCGAGACGUCGGUUGAAACCGCAUGGCUAGAGUCCGGAAGAGGAGAGUGGAAUUCCCGGUGUAGCGGUGAAAUGCGCAGAUAUCGGGAAGAACACCUAUGGCGAAGGCAGCUCUCUGGGACGGUACUGACGCUGAGACGCGAAAGCGUGGGGAGCAAACAGG